AAGAUAAGCCAGCAUGUCUAAGUAUAAGCAAUUGUACUGCGAAACUGCGAAUGGCUCAUUAAAUCAGUUAUCGUCUAUUUGAUAGUACCUUACUACUUGGAUAACCGUGGUAAUUCUAGAGCUAAUACAUGCUGAAAACCCCGACUUCGGAAGGGAUGUAUUUGUUAGAUUAAAAGCCAAUGCCCUCCGGGGCCCCCUGGUGAUUCAUGACAACUUCUCGAAUCGCACGGCCUUGCGCCGGCGAUGGUUCAUUCAAAUUUCUGCCCUAUCAACUUUCGACGGCUGGGUCUUGGCCAGCCGUGGUGACAACGGGUAACGGAGGGUUAGGGCUCGACCCCGGAGAAGGAGCCUGAGAAACGGCUACUACAUCCAAGGAAGGCAGCAGGCGCGCAAAUUACCCAAUCCCGACACGGGGAGGUAGUGACAAUAAAUACUGAUACAGGGCUCUUUUGGGUCUUGUAAUUGGAAUGAGUACAAUUUAAUUCCCUUAACGAGGAACAAUUGGAGGGCAAGUCUGGUGCCAGCAGCCGCGGUAAUUCCAGCUCCAAUAGCGUAUAUUAAAGUUGUUGCAGUUAAAAAGCUCGUAGUUGAACCUUGGGCCUGGCUGGCCGGUCCGCCUCACCGCGUGCACUGGUCCGGCCGGGCCUUUCCCUCUGGGGAGCCGCAUGCCCUUCGCUGGGCGUGCCGGGGAACCAGGACGUUUACUUUGAAAAAAUUAGAGUGUUCAAAGCAGGCUUAUGCUCGGAUACAUUAGCAUGGAAUAAUGGAAUAGGACGUGCGGUUCUAUUUUGUUGGUUUCUAGGACCGCCGUAAUGAUCAAUAGGGACAGUCGGGGGCAUCAGUAUUCAGUUGUCAGAGGUGAAAUUCUUGGAUUUACUGAAGACUAACUACUGCGAAAGCAUUUGCCAAGGAUGUUUUCAUUAAUCAGGAACGAAAGUUAGGGGAUCGAAGACGAUCAGAUACCGUCGUAGUCUUAACCAUAAACUAUGCCGACUAGGGAUCGGACGGUGUUAUUUUUUGACCCGUUCGGCACCUUACACGAAAGUACAAGUUUCUGGGUUCUGGGGGGAGUAUGGUCGCAAGGCUGAAACUUAAAGAAAUUGACGGAAGGGCACCACCAGGGGUGGAGCCUGCGGCUUAAUUUGACUCAACACGGGGAAACUCACCAGGUCCAGACACGAUGAGGAUUGACAGAUUGAGAGCUCUUUCUUGAUUUCGUGGGUGGUGGUGCAUGGCCGUUCUUAGUUGGUGGAGUGAUUUGUCUGCCUAAUCGCGAUAACGAACGAGACCUUAACCUGCUAAAUAGCCCNCGCUGCUCUGGCAGCGCGCCGGCUUCUUAGAGGGAUG
rnacentral:rRNA from 1 species